UUAAUGAACAAAUGUACAUGCAGAGCAGUUACUUAUAAAAUUUAGAAAGGAAAAUAUUCCCUUAAGCGCCGUGUGAAACUCCAUUACUCUGUUGCAUCAUUAAUGAAUGAUUUCUGCUUGGAAUUUACAUAAAUCAAAGGAACUGGAGCUCCUCUGUGCUCCCCGUUCAGUAUAACCUCUGAAUACACAUGCAUAUUUCAUGCUUACUAAAAGAUUAACAGGAACAUUUGUAAAGAUCGAUUUAAAACAUGGCGCCUUCUGGUAUUUUUAGUGCAAUUCAUGAAAAUGAGCAAAGACGUAACGCGUGAAAAGAAGAACGAGUGCAAAGCGUGAUGUGUUUCGGCUCAAACCUACAGGGGCAGGGUAUACUUUUAUUUAAACAUAGGGUAAGUGUUGCAAUAUCUCUACAAAACAUUGGUGUCAAAGUUAUCAGCACGUUUAUAAUGAGUAUUCUGAUGUCUUCCCUGGGGAGAAUAACAGCAUCGAGUCAAGGUUCUUAUUCCACUCCUCCAUGAAGGACAUUUUAUAUAAAGUUCCUUUACGUAUAUUCAAUUCAGCAUUGCUUUUCACUUGGGUUCAUGGCCAUUGAUGGAAUCAUUCUCUUGCUCUGUUUAUAGUCAAGUCAGAACCUCCUGGUAGAGGCAACCAGGUUUUGAGCUGAAAUAUCCUUCUAGGUGAGAACUCGUGAGGCAAUAAAGCUUCACAAGAAUCUGAACCAGAACCUCCAGCUACAAAACAGCCCCAAAGUAUCAAUCUUACACCUCCAUAUUUUACAGUGGAGUAUCAGAUGCUUUGCCUUGUACGCAGUCCCCUCUUUACACCAAUGGUGAGUAUGACGAAUUUGUAAAAAAAACAACAACAAUUGUCUCAUCUGAUAACAGCAAUGAUAUCAGCGAUAGUUCUAACGACACCUGAAGUUCUCUGUGACAUUCUCACAGGAAAGUCUUCUUUCUUCCAAACAGCCACUAGAAUCAACUACAUUUUGAAACUGUGAUUUAUAGACUCCUUUUUCCUUCCUUCACCACCACCGUGCUGCUCACUCCAAACACCAAAUUUCAGAUGUUUCCCAAAGAUGACACUUUUUUUUUUCUGCUAUGGCUGUAAAUGUGCUUCAUGGUAUUUUAAACUGGCUGUGUAGUUUCGUAUACCCAUUACCUGACUGUACAAGUCAAACACCAUGUGUGUUGUGUUGAAAGGUUUUGUUUUGUUUUCUUCAUGUGUGCAUAUUUAUAUCCCAGGGAAACAAGACACGAUAUAAAAUCGUCCCUAGGGGUGUCGAUAUGUCUGGGUCAUACAUUUCUGAGAGAAAAUACUGUUAUUCAAAAAAGUAUUUCCAAUGGGAAUGAUUAUGAAGGGCAAUGUAUAAAGUACAUUUCAUGUUGCUGUCUCUGUUUUCGUAUAGCAAAACCUCCUCGUUCAGGUAAUAACCAUGUUUUGUACAAUUGCAAGCUUAUUAGAUACACCUAGCAUACGGUAUAGCAUUCAUGUCACGUGGUUGGGAGUGUGUGUGUGUUGGGGGUGUAUACAGUAUAUCAAGGAUGAGAAUCUGACACUAAUCUGAAAAUGUGACUAAUCUGAUGAAGGGCUUCUAUAGAUGUGGUAGAGGAGAGCAUAGCCACUAAGUGACCUAUAAGGUAAGCGUACCUGACAAAAUGACCAACGAGUGCUGGAAAGGUUGGUGUAGAACAAUCUUAUAGUACAAUUCGAACGCCUGUGAAUCAACUGGCCCGACUAACAGUAAUCGUUUAAAGACUUUAAAGUGCACCUAUUAUGGUUUUUCAGAUAUUCCCUUUCAUGUAGUGAGUUAUAGAGCUGUUUGUGAAUGUAAAAAGCCUGCAACAUUUCAAAAAUCGAAGCGCACGACAAACAGAGUUAUUGACUCCCAAAAGAAGGAAUCGAUUCUGAACAGCUGAAACAAAUGAUUCCAGAAUUACUUCCUGUAUAAACCUACGUAGGUUUGUAACAAAAACCCCACCUUUAUAGGCUGCUCAUGAACAGAGAGAGGUGAAACUCGUUAUGGUAGUGGGCAUUUCCUUUUCGACACACCCUGACCUAGACCAAUCACAACAGACUGGGUCAUCUGACCAAUCAGAGCAGAGUAUGCUCUCUGAAAGGAGGAGUUUAGAAUUAAUCUUUUAGAACGGAUCAUUGAUCGAGUCGUUUGUGACACUGGGGGGGAAAAAAGGUAAUGCUGCAAUUUAAAUUAUGAGCACGUUAAAGUGUCUUUUGACCUCAGAUGCAUGUAAAUCUAUUGUAUGAGGGCUUUAAAACAAAAUUAGCCACGUUUCAAAGCCAUAAUAGGUGCGCUUUAAAUAGAUUUCAAUAUUUCAGCCAUUAAAAGGUCUGUAGUAAUCUUAGAAAUUGUAAUGAUUACAAAGUAAUUACAUGGCAACAUGGCGUAUUAACAAAGUAAUUCUAAUGGUGUAAGUCUUUGUUUUUGCCACUUGAGGGCAGCACAUCACUAAAUAUUCUCACUCAAUGACGUGGUUCUGGACUGCUUGUUUUAUUUCUUUGCUCAGUACAUCUUGAGGUUUGUCGGUUCAACUUACUGUGUAUAUUAUAUUUAGCGAUGGACGAUAGCGAUUCCAGAAGAAAUUCUGACACCUCUUCACCCUGAACGCUUUCCUGAAUGGACCUGAACAUUUCAAAUGACCAAAAUGGAAUUAUGGCCUGAUAAGGUGAAAAGAAAGAAAGAAAGAAAGUGGUCCAUUUCAUUGGAGCUGCUUUCAUCAAGUAGCAGCAUCCCAUGUACUUUUCCCAGGGAGCAACGUCUGUGGUCCUGUACAGUAUGUCUAGAGUCAAGCAAAGUUUUGAGGUUUUUCUACUAAACCUGGGCAUGGACUGUGAUGCACUCAAAGCCAAGGAUGUCUCAAGUGCACCAUGGUGAAACAGCUCAAGCACUUUUAAUGAGAGUGGGAAUCUGAUAUGCACACACAGCACUUGACUUGCAUGAUGGAGGCAACACUAUAACAGCCCGAAGGUGCAAAUACUAAUGAACCAACAUGUAGUUACUCGAAAUCAUUCUACAAAUAAUCAACAUGUUUAUGUCCAGGACUUGGGUAUCUUGGUCAUCCCUGUUCAUUUCCUGUUUACUAUAUUUAGAACAUAUGAUUGCGCUAUAGCUCUCUGUUGCAGAGUGAAAAGACAGGGUGUAAGCUGUUUCCAAAAUUAGGGGAUCAGCUACUGAAUAAUGUACUGUAUGGGAUUGGGAUAUAGGCUAGCUUUAACCUUUUAUGGUUUGUGAUGCCUUAGAUAAGAGUAUCGCCACACACAAAGUCAGUACCAUGGACUGUGUCCAUUGCUACAGAUUGUCCAGGAUGGGUCAAGCAAAAGCAUGGCCAACCACACACCACUAAUUCCUAUACGGAAAACUCUCAUGGUUGGCAGCACAUUAAGGAGAUAAUGACAACUAGCUGAGGGAGAAGACAGACUGUUAAAAGCAUGUCUGAAAAAGUAAUACCCCAGCUUCCCGUAUCUGCAGAUUACCAUGACGAAUCCAGGCCUUCAACAUUUUGGUGAAGAGCUAAUCCUCAGUUGCAUUGCCUCCUUACAACACAGAGUGACCAGAGAACUCGCACUGAGCCAUGCACACUCACCAUCCCUCACUACUCUACCCAUAUUACUUGA